UCUGUUGUUUCCGUCGCUCUAAGAACGGUGGAAACGGUCGUGCUACUUUCAGACUGUCUACAGACUGACCAUCUUUUCGUGCGAUUUAUUUCCGUCCUGCAACAUUCGAGAGACUAGCUAUAGGUGUUUUGUGAGAUUCUUUGGCGUUAAUUAAUUAAAGGCAGUGGACGCUGUCGUCGAUUGUGUUCUAACAGAUUACGAAGCACUCAUCCGUACGCAGGAACACUUUCUGCGAAGCGGGGCCCACUUUCUUUAGUGCCCGGAUAAACGUCCCGUAUACGCUGUAAUCUGCACGUGAUGUUGGCAGAAGGAACGUGACAUGGUUGUAUUGUUGUUUGCGUUCGUUGACUACUGCGCACCUUGCGACGCCACACCAUUGACGUUGCUGAAGCGGUAGCUGCGUCGUAAUGUUCGAACUCGGGGGCCAUCAAAGCACAUGCGCACAAAGUAGCUAUAGCAGUUCAUAAUUCAGCAGAAAUCUGCGUCAGUGCACUUGCAUCGCAAAAGGAGCUGUUCCAACUUUCAGCUGUUCAACCAGAGACCUCUUCAAACUGGUGUACACAUUCUUUCUCAUUUGAAUUGUCAAAGUUGACUCCCAGUAAUCUAAUGUCUUUGCUGUUCAACAACCGAUAACCACUUCAACUGCUGUGAGUGUGAAAUUGGUGAAUGAAGUCAAGGAGGGACUGGGAGGUGUGACAGCCGAUGGGGAUCAACAGCAAUGAGGAGUGGUGAACGUGAAGGAUGAGAAGUCGGCUGUUGUGGAGGACAAAGCAGCAGCAUUGGUUGCUGUCAGACCGUCUGUUCGUGCUUCUACCAACUUGGUUCAAGCACAGGACACAGAGACACCAAAUUUCCUUGGAGUUGUAAAGGGAUGACAUCUGACGUGUGCUUUAGGAGCAUCUUCUUCUGCGUGCAGUUUGGCAUGGGAAUGGUCUGCUAACCACAUAAAUCAGGAAUUGAGUAUAGCAAUUGAGUUUUAGAGCCGCAGUUGAAAAAAUUCUUGGACGUGUGAAGAAGAUUGCUUAUAUUUGGAAGGUUGGAUCAAUGAAUGGCAUGUCAAAGUAGUGUCCAGCAAAAUCACACCACUAUUCAAGCUGCUAGUGCAACAGCUGUGACAUUUGUUUACCAGUUUACGAUGCUGUAUAAUUCAAUUCUAACCAGUUAUAGUCAUUACCGGUUGGAUAUAAUAAUAUAAAUACACACACACACACACACACACACACACACACACACACACACACACACACACAC